UAGCGGGGAGUUGUAAAAUGUAGUUAGCCGGAAGGCCAAUGCCGAAGCCAAGAAAAGUGAUCCCAACACUAAAGCCAGCGCCGCAGCCAGCUCCAACAUAACCAACUACCUCAGGGCCAAAGCCGGGACCCCAUCCUAUGCCACAACCAAUGCCUACUCCGACACCCCAAAAGGCUCCUGAUGUUGGAUGCACGGGAUUCCACCUCUCAUAUCUCCUAAAGAUACUCUUUAUUAUCAUUUUCUACAUCAAACUUCACAAUACACAGCGAUAACAAUUAGGGGAAAUUCUCAAUUGUAUAAGUAAAUGAUGCAGGGCAACUUGAUAUGUCUAAUCAUGCUAUGAUUUCUGCAACAAGGUUUGCUU
rnacentral:lncRNA from 1 species